UGGCCAUCAUGUGUCAAACAAUGUGCGCUUUCAUUUUUUGUCUAUUGUCGUCUCUUUCACACCUACGUAUGCUUGAUGUGGAACGAUUGCGGCGCCGAUAGAAAAUGUAAACAUUGCGGACUGCUCAUCCAAGAGUGCUCCGGCGUUCAUUAAAUAAUAAUUGCAUAAAGUCGAGUGAAAAUAGGAUCAAGCCGUGUUAAAAGAAUACUUUUAAUGUAUCCCGACACUGUCCAUAGUCAUGCGCGUCAAAUGGCACGGUUGGAACGCGAACAUACUGCGACGCGAAUGCGUUUUGCUGGGCAACCGGAACCGGACCCCAGAUGACCGAGUCGAUGAUGCUGUGCCACUGGUGUACGAAGCAAGUUUAGGCCCUAUGGAAGUGAACGAUAAGUUACAAUCAUUAUAAACUGUGGAUUGCGAACCGCUUAUUAUGUUUGUGUACACAUUUUUUACAGACAAAUUUCUCCCGAUGAGUUCUAGUGUGGAGAACAGUGCGUAGACCAAAAGCAGCGAUGAAGAUUGUAAAUUGUAUUUAUACGGGGUAUUAUUAUAUUAUUUAACAACACACCUUAAACCGAAAUGCGUUCUGUGCACGCCCAUUGCCUAUGUAAUGGACACCGAAUCGACGGUAAUCGUAGGGGUACAGCAGUUGUACCUGCCACAUUCAGCAUUUUAUAUUGCCACACUAUAGCCAAGGAGAGAUUUAUACUGCAUGUCGUCAUGCGUGGUAAGCGCAUGGUAUGGGGAACCGCUUUUGCUGCGUGUGUCUGCAAGUGGCAUCAGAUUCUUUGGCAAGUGACGAAGUCAUAAAAAGUAUCUGGUAGCGCGUUUGGAAUCAGCUUAAGGUGCACAAUCCCAAAGUAAUGAACAAUUCAUGUCCGUUAGGAUGGUGCAUAUUGCGAGCCAUAGACGAAUGCACUGUUUCCGCUCCAUAUUCUACACCUUAUGUGCCCUAUGAUGCAUAUGUUGCUGCGUUAUGGAUCAUGUAGCGAGCCUAUGGUGCUCUCCUGUACAAAUAGUGAUCUUUAGCGAAACGGUCUCAACAACCAGUCCAUGCAUAUACAUGCCUCACGGUGUACGCAAUCUUUGCAAACAAGACUGCAACUCCAAAAACAAGCUUUUCUGUCGCAUACUUACUCCUCUAAAAAUAAUGUUUUUUUUUUUUUUUAAAUAUGAGG